rnacentral:lncRNA from 1 species
AAGCCUGAACUUCUUCAGACCGAUUUUAGCAGACAUUUGCCUUUGGCUGAGAAAUCAUUGUUCCAGUGACUGGUUUCUGGUCCAACCGGUCUAAGCUAGCUUUUGCCCCUGUUUUGCUGUAGUCAAAACAAAUAACCUUGGGUAAUGUUCAGCUCAGCUGCUGAUCAUCGUGUGGGUUUUUGGUCCGGGAAUGAAUUUUGCUGAUUAUCAUGUGAAUUUAAAUGGAUUGUU